CCGAAGCAUUUUUGGGCAGAAGCGGUUGAGACAGCUUGUCAUGCAACAAAUCGCUUGUAUCUUCACAAGCUACUCGGCAAGACGGCAUAUGAGCUCCUCACUGGUAACAAACCCCAAGUUGGAUACUUUCAAGUAUUCGGCUCAAAGUGCUACAUUCUUGAUAAGCAUCGCCGCUCUAAAUUUGCUCCUAAGUCUCAUGAAGGUUUCCUACUAGGUUAUGGCUCAAACUCUCACACUUACCGUGUCUACAACAGUUUCACCCGAAAGGUUGAAGAGACGGUAGAUGUGAAGUUUGAUGAAUCUAACGGCUCGCAAGUAGAGCAAUUGCCAAUUGAUGUAGGUGACAAAGAUCCUUCGGAAGCAAUUCAAGACUUGUCUAUUGGCAAGGUUCGUCCAACGGAGGUGAAGGAGAGUACCUCGUCCGUCCAAGUGGAAGCUUCAACUUCACAACAAGGUGAACCAAGAGUUGAUACGGAAGCAUCCACAAGUGGGACACACCAAGAUGAAGAAAACGAGGAAGUGCAUCAAGAUGAAUGUCAACAACCUCCUUCUCCACCACGACAAGAGAACGACAACGCCAACAAUGAAGAAGGCCAAGAAGAAGAAGAACAAGAUGAAGAAGAUGUUCAACGAAGACCCAAGCAAAAGCUUUCACGAGUUCGAGCAAGAAUUGCUAAAGAUCAUCCCGUCGAGCAAAUCUAUAAUGACAUUCAAACCGGGAGAAUCACUCGCUCUAAAACUCGUUUAGCUAACUUUUGUGAAAACUAUUCUUUCAUCUCUAGCAUUGAACUUAUGAAGGUUGAAGAAGCAUUGGAAGAUCCGGAUUGGAUAAAUGCUAUGCAUGAAGAGCUACAUAACUUUGAGAGGAACCAAGUUUGGACAUUGGUUGAGAAGCCCGACAACAACCACAACGUCAUCGGUACCAAAUGGGUGUUUCAUAACAAGCAAGAUGAAGAUGGAAAAGUAGUUCGCAACAAAGCACGUCUUGUCGCCCAAGGCUACAGACAAGUCGAAGAUAGAUGGCUCGUGCUGUUGUUCCGUUGA
rnacentral:rRNA from 1 species